AGAAUCAACGCUGGCGGCGUGCCUAACACAUGCAAGUCGCACGAGAAAGGGGAGCAAUCCCUGAGUACAGUGGCGCACGGGUGAGUAACACGUGAAUAAUCUACCUCCGAGUGGGGAAUAACUGAGAGAAAUCUUAGCUAAUACCGCAUAAUACCCACGGGUCAAAGCAGCAAUGCGCUUGGAGAGGAGUUCGCGGCAGAUUAGUUAGUUGGCGGGGUAAUGGCCCACCAAGACGAUGAUCUGUAUCCGGCCUGAGAGGGCGCGACGGACGACGACUGGAACUGAAACACGGUCCAGACUCCUACGGGAGGCAGCAGUGGGGAAUUUUGCGCAAUGGGGGAAACCCUGACGCAGCAACGCCGCGUGGAGGAUGAAGCCCCUUGGGGUGUAAACUCCUUUCGAUCGGGAAGAUAAUGACGGUACCGAUAUAAGAAGCCCCGGCUAACUUCGUGCCAGCAGCCGC
rnacentral:rRNA from 1 species